UACGUAGGGACCAAGCGUUGUUCGGAAUUACUGGGCGUAAAGGGCGCGUAGGCGGCGACUCAAGUUAGAUGUGAAAGUCCUGGGCUUAACCUGGGGACUGCAUUUGAUACUGGGUUGCUUGAAUUCGGGAGAGGAUAGCGGAAUUCCCAGUGUAGAGGUGAAAUUCGUAGAUAUUGGGAAGAACACCGAUGGCGAAGGCAGCCAUCUGGACCGACACUGACGCUGAGGCGCGAAAGCGUGGGGAGCAAACAGG
rnacentral:rRNA from 1 species